rnacentral:sRNA from 1 species
CGAGGGUGCGUGGUAUUCCGUCUCCAAAAGGGGCGGAGCCACAAGGGAAAGCGCAUCCUCAGUCAGAUUUCCACUAGCUCAAUUGGCAGAGCAGUUGACUUCGGAUCAACGGGUUGACGGUUCGAGUCCGUCGUGGGGUUCACACCCAAGCGAAAGCCUUUCCCCGGCAACAGUGCGACAGUGUCCUAAUCCCUGACCCGGCAACGGGAAUCAGGGCGCCCGAGGGUCCGCAAGACCCGGAGGUGUUCAUGCGCGAGUAACGGUAGCGGAGAGACCGGCCGGUCUUUCUUCGACGCCAAAGCGGUGGAGAAGCUGUUGUCGUGACGCGUGGUGCCACGUACGGCACUGGACAUGGUGACUACCGUCGAGAGGCGGUGGAUACGCGGAAAACCCCCUGGCAGGGGGAAUACAGCCCGCCAAAGGUCACCGGGAGCGGCGAGGUAAUCUCACUCGCC